AUUUUGUAAAUUGUUAGUGCAAAUUUAACAAAAUUUAUUCAAUGUUGCAAAUGGAUACAAAUUUUGUUAGUAAUUUGACAUUUAGUGAAAUUUAGUGCAAAUUUAUGGAGAUAUGGCUUUUAUUCAAUAUAGUUCUUUUAUCAAAAGUCCAAAAUAGUGCAAACUACUAGAUGAAAUUUUUCUUGGAGUGUUAAGAGAUCAUUUAGCACUCAAUCUCUACUACUAAUAAGAGGCUAAGGGUGACGUUUUUUCGCCUACAUAGUCAUCCUCCCAUUUUGGUUUAGCCUGCAACGGUUGUAAUUCAUUCAUUUCAAUUCUCGGUGCGAUCCACGGCUGCUACCCCGCUCGCCCAUCCGCACACCUUUCACGCAAUCACGCACCCUCACCUCCCCCCGCCCUCCCCUUGGACUCGAGAUCCAUCCGUUGCUGCCCCGCCGCCGCCCCCUUCACGCGCUGCCCCGCUGCCGCCCCCUUCACGUUGCUGCCCCAAGGUGCUGCAGCCGCCGCCGCAAGGCGCAGCCGCAAGCACGCCGCCGCAGCAAGCCGCCGCCGAUCGAGAUCCAGUGGAGGGACCUCUUCCGUCCCUUCCUUCAGCGUCAUCUUCUGCGCUUUGGUCUCACUGAUGGGAUAUGUGAAGCUGUUUCCAUAGAGUUUUCUCCUAUUCCAUUCAUCACUGAAGAGAUAGCUCCAGGUACCAAGCCUGAACUAUUGCUGGCGCUGUAGCUGACCUUGUGUCUUCCAGAUCGGUUCACGCAAAUGGAUCCUCCCAACAAUACCAAAGACUCGGGUUUGGCUGAUGAUGCUCUUCAACUGCGACGAGAGCGGCAACGAGUCCGUUAUGCCGCAAUGACAGAUGAGCAAAGAGACGAAAAGAACAGGAAGUGGCGUGAGGCAUACAAGAGAAAAAAGAAUAAUGCAAACAAGGAAAAUGAGCCAGGUUGUAAUAUACAGGAUUUCAAGCCGAGUGAUGCUGAUACUAAUAUAGCCGAAGAUCCAACUGGAAUUGCUGCGACCAGAAAGUGAUAGGACCCUAAGUGCCUUGAAUUCAGAUGAUAAAGGGCUUGAAAGGAACAAGAAGAGUCGUGAAGCUUAUCGGAUGAAGAAGGACGUAAGCCAGGGCGGCGCGAUAAUUUCAUCAGCUGAUGACCAUGUAGAAUGCAUCUCUAGCACUGCUCCAACCAUCGAUCACCCCCCUAAUAGUAUGCUAUGUAAACAUCUGUUGCAGUGUUUGUGUCCAUCUGAUAAACAAACACUGACUUGCAUAUCAUGCAGUUCUUAUGCAUAAUAGUCUAAUCCAGGAUGCAUAAUAGUUUAGUUUAUUUGUUCAGUAAUGACAUAAAAUUAGAUGCUUGUGGUGGACGUGUCCAACUGAUCCCGUGCAGAUUACUGUUUUGCUUUUCAUAAUUGAAUCACCAUUUGAGUAAUGGUGCCAGAAUAGUUUUGUAUAUUAGUUCAGUAAUGAUAUGAAAUUAGUUGCUUGUGGUGGACGUGCCCAA